rnacentral:rRNA from 1 species
CCCGAAACCAGGUGAGCUACCCCGAGACAGCCUAUGUUAAUUUAGGGCUAACCCGUCUCUGUGGCAAAAGAGUGGGAAGAGCUCCGGGUAGAAGUGACAGACCUACCGAACCUGGUGAUAGCUGGUUGCCUGAAAAAUGGAUAGAAGUUCAGCCUCGCACCCCCCGAUCCAACAAAUAUAUCGUCAAGAUGCUCAGAGAGACAUGCGAGAGUUAGUUAAAAGGGGUACAGCCCUUUUAACAAAGGAUACAACCUUCACAGGAGGAUAAAGAUCAUAAUAUAUAAGAUAUACUGUUCUAGUGGGCCUGAAAGCAGCCACCUAAGCAGAAAGCGUUAAAGCUCGGACAGAGAGAAGUUUAUUAUACUGAUAAGAAAUCUUAUUCCCCUAACUGUAUCAGGCCAACCCAUGCCCCCAUGGAAGAGAUUAUGCUAAAAUGAGUAAUAAGAAGACACGCUCUUCUCCCGGCACACGUGUAAACCAGAUCGGACUGACCACUGGAACUUAACGAACCCAACCCAAGAGGGUAGUGUGAUUAAUAUAAACCUCAAGAAGACCUCACACCAACUGAUCGUUAACCCCACACUGGAGUGCUAUUUCAAGGGAAAGACUAAAAGAGGAGGAAGGAACUCGGCAAACACAAGCCUCGCCUGUUUACCAAAAACAUCGCCUCCUGCAACUAGACUGAGUAUAGGAGGUCCAGCCUGCCCAGUGACUACGGGUUCAACGGCCGCGGUAUCUUGACCGUGCAAAGGUAGCGCAAUCACUUGUCUCUUAAAUAGAGACCUGUAUGAAUGGCUAGACGAGGGCUUAACUGUCUCCCCCCUCCAGUCAGUGAAAUUGAUCUAUCCGUGCAGAAGCGGGUAUAAAUAUACAAGACGAGAAGACCCUUUGGAGCUUAAGGUACAAAAUUCAACCACGUUAAACAACCCCAUAAAAGGCAAGAACUUAGUAGCAAUGAAAUUUUACCUUCGGUUGGGGCGACCGCGGAGGAAAAACAAGCCUCCGAGUGGACUGGGCCAAACCCCUGAAGCCAAAAGAAACAUCUAGAAGCCGCAGAAUAUCUGACCAAAAAUGAUCCGGCUAAAAGCCGAUCAACGAACCAAGUUACCCAAGGGAUAACAGCGCAAUCCCCUCCCAGAGCCCGUAUCGACGAGGGGGUUUACGACCUCGAUGUUGGAUCAGGACAUCCUAAUGGUGC